UACAGAGGUCUCAAGCGUUGUUCGGAUUCAUUGGGCGUAAAGGGUGCGUAGGUGGCGGGGUAAGUCUGGUGUGAAAUCCUGGGGCUCAACCCCGGAACUGCACUGGAUACUGCUUUGCUAGAGUACUGGAGAGGGAACUGGAAUUUACGGUGUAGCAGUGAAAUGCGUAGAUAUCGUGAGGAAGACCAGUGGCGAAGGCGGGUCUCUGGACAGUUCCUGACGCUGAGGCGCGAAGGCCAGGGGAGCAAACGGG
rnacentral:rRNA from 1 species